rnacentral:lncRNA from 1 species
GCGGCGCUUGGAGGGCGGCCGGAGCUGGGCCUGAGCCUGGAGACUCGCCUGAUCCCGGGCGGCCGAACCACCAUCACCACAACCGCCCCACCCCCGCCGUCGCCUCGUGGGGCCCCGGCCCCCUCCCGGGUCCGAAAGCUAGAUAACCGAAAGUAGAAAUGACUCUCACAACUUCUGCGUGCGAUGGCCCGGCCGGCCGCCCUGGCCACAGGAGCCAGAGGAGCCCAGAGAAGCCCACGCCACCCAGGGAUUCCAGCUCGACGGAGCGGCCACGCCGGGACCAGGUAUCCCCUCUGUGUUACAGUUGCUCACCAGCAGGCGCUCCAGAUUCCCGCACUUCCUUCCUGGGCUCUGCAGUCCCCAUCGCUAGUCCCUACAACUCCUCAGCAUGGAGGGCGCCCCACCGCACAGGAAAGGGGGUGCCAGAAGCAACCUGGCCUCCAAAGUGGCUUAUUGGACAUCUCUGGCCUGAGCUUGGCUCGCGAGGGGCGAUCGGGAGCCUCGGCUGGUAAAGGGGCGGCCUGCCCGGGGCUCGGGACUUGGUCCCGGGCGCUCGCUCUCGGAGCCCGUGCGGUAGGAGCUUAGGCAGAGAUUCCCUUGGCGGCUCCGCACGCACCUCGAGUCCCAGGCCUCCCCGGGCCUACGGAAGCACCGGGCGCCCGCGGCGAAGCCGACUGGGCAAGGCCCUCGGAGCACGGCCUGAGCACACACACUGGACGCCCGGGACCGAAAAGGAGACCCGGAGGAGCAGCCGCGUCCCCUGGGCCUGCGCCAAGGCUUCGGCGGGGCGCGCUGCGGGGCCGGGAGGCCAUUUUGAGAGCGAACGAGCGGCGGCAAGAUGGCUGCGUGGGCACGAGGCAGUGGGCUGGCGCCAAGUAUUCCAGGGUCCCCGGACCAUCGACCAUCGUCGCCCCAGGACCCUGAGGCCACCGUGCCUUUCCGGGCUGUUGACGAGAAAGCAGCAAGAGAAAGUAGGCGUCUGUUGGGCCCCUGGCAGGCUUGCUGCUAGAGUCAAAAGCUGUCCUGUCCAAUGUGAUAUCCAAUAGACGUGAAUAGUUUAUCUCAUAAGUGUGAGCAGUAUGGCACAUUUAAAUAAUCUCUGACUAAAUAAAAUACAUAAUUAUAAUGACCUGCUUCUUCUGUCUUUGGAAUGAGGCUUCUAGAACAUUUGAGAUUACACAGGAACUGAAAUGGCAGGUCUAAACCAGAUGAUGGAGCCCUCUUACAGACUUAGACUUGUGCCUGAUUCUUCUGAUCUCACGCAGGAGGUGUCUAAUCUCAGAGGUCUAUGUUUAGAGUGCAGUGGAAAAGCCAGGUGGAGGGUCUCAGGCCUGGAAGAGCCUGUUGUGUGGGAGAAUCACCCCUCAGUCUUUGGAGGUGGAAGCUAUGGCCUGAGUUCGUAGGCAACAUUGUGUUUUUCAGCAUAGGGUGAGGUUAACCCUGGAAGAAUCUUUCCAUGAAGGGUCAGCAGCCCCCUAGUGGGUUUGUGUAGGUAGAGCUGGAGCUGACAGGUUCAUUGUUCCAAGAGUGGCACCCACACCAGGCAGUGGUGACUUCACACUCUCCCAGAUACACAAGAACCACUAAACAAGGAAAGACAGCUGUGUGUCUCAGGUGUGUGUGUGUGUGUGUGUGUGUGUGUGUGUGUGUAUGUGUGUGUGUAGAUAAAGCUUUUAGAUAUUGUAUGGUGGUUAUCACAGCACAUAGGAAAGAGUCCAUUCCACUUCUGGCUGCUUGGAAGUUCCUUCUAAAUCUUUGAAUGAUUGAGCCACCAGAAGACUAGGGGGAUCUGUCCUGCCCUCAUCCUCAUUGUGCACUGUCCAGUUGUUGCUGGUGGGCAAGGUGAGUAUACUUGAAGUAGGCUUUCUUCUGCGGACGGGUGAGUAGCGGCUGCUGAGACUGCAGUGCUGGAUUCUUCCUGAAACGUCUGUCUUUCCUGUAGGAAACCGAGAGGUCAGUGAAGAUGUUUCCCAGGAAGACAGCAUGUCCUCUUAGUUCUUAUGCUGAGCCACAGAGCAAGGGGAUGCACAGGGACCAACAGCAAGAUGCACUCCAGGGUGGGCCAGGAGAAAAGAGAAAAGACAGCUUGGUGAUGACUAAGAAGGAAGAAACUGGAGCCUAAGCUAGUACUGAGAGGAAAGCUACCUCUGCAGCGCUCCACUUUGCCCCAGCUUCAGGAUAUGUUGUCUUGGGAUACAGGACAAUGCAGAUGACUUUCGAAGCCCAGAUACAAUGGUUCGUGCCUUUAACCCUAGUACUUGGGAGAUGGAGACAGGAUGCAGAUGACUUUCGAAGCCCAGAUACAAUGGCUUCUCUCCUCAGACAUGGUGGGAUGUACUCUGAUCUAGAGCAGGCAGCUGGCCAGAGGCCCACAGGGAGCUCAGUGAUUGGCCUCAGAUGACCUUGGGGACAAAGGGGAGGCCAGUGACAGUGCUGCCUGUUGUCUGAGCCUGUGAUGCUGGAGGUGGAAUAAAGCCAAGGUGCAUCUCUGAAGAAAGCUUCUGGCCUCAAGCCAGCCCCAGGAUUUUGGAGACUCUCCCCUGAAAUCUUUCCCUUUCAGGGUCCAAGGUGGCCUAGGAAAGAAACAAGAUCACAAGAAGACCAGCCCCACUUACCUGGAAGUCAGAGAAUGCCCUCCUGACCACCGUCUUUCUUAGUGGUCUUAGGAGUUCCCUGCUGGGGAUGUCUGGAGGUUGUCCUGUGAAGGGAAGUGAUGGCACAGGCUCUGAUCAGCUCUUCUGGGAACAGACAGAGAAGUGAGAAUUCCUGCCAAAGCCACAGGAUGAACACAGAGCCAAGAACCUGAACCAGAAAAAUCCAGCAGGAAAGGAACCUGCACUAGCCACCAUCCUGAGGCUGCUGUACAGGGAGCAAUCCUACCGCAGGGACUUGGCAGGAGACCAGGGGCCUGCUCCCCAGUCCUCCUCGAGGGCCUCUGUCACCGACCUGCUUGUCUAGGAUCUCCUUUCUUUCUGCUUGUGCCACAUCUUUCAGGCCUGUUCUGGGUCUGAUGUGCUAUAGAACACUCUGUUCAGGCACUUGGGAAAUAGAGACUUCAUCACCAGCAUUUCCACCCCCAAAGAACUAGGCAGCACACUGGGAAGUUGCCAAAGGAAGGGACUCCAGCCUCCCAGGAGUUAACAACAUUUCUCCCCAGCUAUCCUCCCCUUGGUGCUCCUCUUCCUCCCUCCUCCUGCUCACAGCAGGCAGGGCCUGGAACCAGGAGCCAUGCUGCUGUGCUGUUGCCAGGGGAGCUGGGAGGCAGAUCGGAGCUAUGCAGGGAAAAGGCUCGGCCUGUCAGAGUGUCUGAGAUGAACCACCGCCAUCCCUGUGCAGCUGGGCUCCAUGUGUCUCAGGGCUCUUGUUCUGUGCCUGAGAACGGUGAAGCCCAGCGAGGUUCAAGGGCACACUCGCUAUUCAUCAGUCGGGGGUUCUUGACGGUCCUGCCUCUCCCAGGGAUGGGUUCCCCCCUUCCUCUUUCUCUCCCUCCUAUGAUACAUUCCUGGGUGCCUGUGGUGAGGACUGCACACCCCCUUCUCCACAGCCCCCCCAAACCCUGAAUCAACUCCUAUUAAGGAGGCCAGGCGAGACAGGGACAAUGGCUUCAAGAAAUCAUUCAGGCGGGACCUCAGUCACAUUCGCAUGCCCGUCACUCCCAGAGCCCCUGUAGAUCCCACUCUGCUGUGAUUCAGGGACCCUUGGGCCCCCAGCUUGCACAUGCCUAGACAGGAGCAGGCCACUAGGUGCUGCCCUACACAACAGGCCAGUGCAGUGUUUGUUCUCAGGGACCCUGGGGCCUCCAUCCCACUGGCUGGAUAGUGUGUGCAGUCAGUUGGAGAGCAGAAACUACAAUAUUUUCUGAAAUGUGGUAAUAUCAAGAUAUAAGAGGCACAUAUACGUGAUGACUAAUUUCACUUCAGAUAUACUGGAAAAGUUUGCUAAGAACAUGGACAAAGACCUGUGGUUGAGUAACGAGUCAUUUCAUUCCAUGGAAUAUUACACACCUGUAAGACUGUGGUAGAUCUACCUCUGCAUGCAGGCUGAUAGGGAAGGUUGCUAAUAUACUUAAGUGAAUAGAAUAAAGUACAAAACAGUCAAGUGUGUUCUUGUUUGUAUAUACUUAAAGGUCAGUUACGGUGGCAGGGGUGUGUGAAGCUCAGUGGUAAAAUGCACACAGCAUACAGGAGGCCUAGAGCCAAAAAACCCUGUAUCAACCAUAAGUAUGUCUGCAUGAAUGGUUGGCAAGCAAGCCCUGCCCAGCAGCCUCCAGGAAGCAGGAGGCCUUUCCUCCUGUGUCUUUGUGUUUGUUUUCUCUCUGCGUUUGUGAAGCACUUUUAUUGAAAAAAAGAAAGGAUAGUAAUCACUUAAUAGGUGUAACUUCUCUCAGCCAACGAAGGGCAUGCACUCCAAGACAAGGUGGUGAUGUGGCUGAGAAGUGUCUUGACAGUACUGGUGGCCUCUGGCCACUGGCGGUUCUCCAACCACAUGUCAUCAUCAUGACUGCCACUGUUAAUCGAAAGCCCACUUAGUCCCAGGGUUAGUUCUCUGGUUCCUGCUUAGGUGAGUGUCCUAGUAUUUCAGUCUAGCCAAUGCAGGAGACUGAAUGGGGAAAUCAGUGGGUUUCUCCAAGCUGUUUGGGUCAAGUCAGUAUCCUAGAGUGGGUAAGGCAAGUGUGGGCUCUGAUUUCCCUCUGGGAGGACCUGUUUUGAGGAGGGGGCUUGUGGGCUGUGUUGAUUAUGAGUGAGCACUCCUACUUGCUUUAGCCCAGUGGAGGUGCCCUGCUGGGGACAGGCUGGCUUCAGGAGUUGACUGUCUCUGAACCACUCCAUCUGCAUACACACAGCAAGUAUUCAGAGACACCACCGGACUUUGCUGCUCCCAGUGUUAAUCAAAAGCCUGGCCUUGCCCUCAAAGGAGUAAAUUGCUGAGGGCAUCUGGAAAGCGCAAUGUGGAGCUGAGCACUGAGUCUUGGAGCCAACAUCCUGUGGAGCUCUGUCUGCGUUGGGCCCUGAUGCCUGGGAGUGGGCAAGGAAAGAUCGCAGUAGAGUUGACCAGAAGAACCUGGGAGACCCAUGGAGGUCCCUGGGCUUAGAUGGCAGCUUUGAAAGUCAGGAGGAAAGCAACUAGGGGUGGGGCUGUCACCAGGUCUCUUACUUUGGUGCAGUGAGUCUUAGUUUUAUAAGGUGCUGGUACACUCAUUUUACAGGUGACAUUUAAGUUCAGAAAUGUUGCUACAUGUCCCAGGUCACAGUUAAAAACUGCCAGAACUGAGAUUUAACACCUACCCCAUUGGUUGCGGUCUGAAUUCAUAACCCCAAAUUUAUUCUUUUUGGCUGAGCCACUUAAGAGAGGUCUCCUGAGCUCCAAGCCUUCCUAGCCAGUUCCAUACAUAGAGACAUAGAGACUUCUGCCUUCAAGGUUCCCCCAGUAUCUUGCCUGGGGUCUUCCCUAAUUCCACCUAAUUUUAUCUGUGAGGUAUACUAAGCUUUGGAACCUGGACCUAGAGCUGGAGAAGAAAUCCAAAGCCAUAUACAGACUGGGGCCCUUCAGUUAGUGUUGCUAUUAGCACUAAUGCUAUUUGCUUCCUGAGUCCGGUCAUCUGCAUUGUGCAGAUGCGCUCUCUUUCUUCAGGUCCUUGACCCUAAAGCCUGAUGGGAGGUCAAGGAUGCUCCAGGGCCUACCCCUUGCUUCUCAGAGCUGGAUCUGCUGAGGGCUGCAGCAAGCCUAAGACUGGAGGAUCAGGCAUGGGAGAGCAAAAGGAAUAACCAGGCUUAGAAAUCAUUGGAACUCUUACUUCAGGACAACCCUGAGGGAUGAUUAAGCCAAAUUCUGAGAGAGAAGCACUCUUCUGACCCUGGGAAACCUCUGCCUCUUUUACCCCAGCUCACAACUAAUAAAAGUUCGA